UUUUUUUUUUUGCCAACCUUCUGUGGUGUGCAGGUGUGGAACGCUCAGCAAAAGGGACACCACUUGCAAAUAUGGCUACUGUAAUUUAUUCAUCUGUACUGUUAAUAGCACAUCUCGAGUUCCAAGAUAAAUGGGCCGUGAUUGGCCGACCCUGUUGGGAAUCUGUCUUGAAUAUUCAUUACGAAGGUUGGCUUCAAAAGUAUCAGCCCCUCCUUGCCUUUGCUUUGUGCACAGCGCUCGGGACGAGAUGAAAGAGAUGGCAGGAAGACGGCUUUGGUUGGUUUCUGUAAUUCUGAUGCAUUAUUAAUUUUCUUAACCAAAAAAAAAAAAAAAGUGCCUGUCAAGAUUGAUUAGAAUCCUUAAUGGAUAUGUAGUUUAAGGAUUGUCAAGCCAUGACUUCUACCCAGUAGAACUGAUGAUGAGAAGGAAUGAGUCACUGUCUGAUAGUUAUACUAAUAGUUACGCACGGAUAUCGCAGCUAAUGAUCUCAGACAAGCUGCCUGGUGACUGUAUGUCUACACAUCCAUUUGCACUUGUUUUUCCUAAUUGAAAUUAAUUGGAAUAAAUAUGUGUCAAAUAGUUAAACUCCGUAAUCUAAUUUUAAUGAAAUGAUUGAGCUCUUUUUUUUCAUACUGAUGAGCCUGAAUACGUUUUUUUUUUUUUUUCCUCUUUCUUAUAAAGGUAUUCCUUGUUGCACCUUUUUAUCACAAUGUGUUUUUCUUGGCCAGGUUCUCAGAUUUCUCAGGAGUAGGAUAAAAAAGCAUUCAGGAUCCGGCUGCCAGGGCGAAAAGAGGUGGUCAGUUCAGUCAUGUCACAAAAACAACGAAGAGAAAAGCGGAAUCCAGUCCUUCAAACUAAUCGGCAAAACAUGGCUCUCACAUGGAGUAAUUUACUCCGUAGGUGCUAAAUAAGUAGAUCUGAAGUGAACACAAGUAUUGGAUGAGAAUUUUAUGACCUUGGCACUCAGCACUCACACGAACACAGCCGUAGACUCGGGAUGUUUUGGGGAGUUCCUGGGCAGGAAAGAUUUAUGCGCAGGCAAGCCUGUGGGAUGCUACCAUUGCAAAGUCUGCAUCGGCAAUGACUUUCAAAAUUGUCCUUACAUACAAGGCACUUAAAAGUCCUAAGCACAAGCCACAUGUGCUCUUAGUGCCGCGUAUUACUAAUGUCAUGUGGAUCUAUGCAGAAUUUGGAACGCAUUACGUGGGAUGGAUCCCACUGCUGUUCUGUGCUGUUGUGCUCUCACAUUAAACCAAAGGACCCUGGGCAGCCCGGGUGGCUCAGCGGUUUGGCGCCACCUUCAGCCCGGGGUGUGAUCCUGGAGAUCCGGGAUCGAGUCCCACGUCGGGCUCCCUGCGUGGAGCCUGCUUCUCCCCCUGCCUAUGUCUCUGUCUCUGUCUCUCUCUGUCUCUCAG
rnacentral:lncRNA from 1 species